rnacentral:misc_RNA from 1 species
GAUGUUGCUGUGUAACAAACGGCUCGUCUGAAAUGCCUGAGUGUACCCUGCUUUUGCGGCGUAUUCGGUGUGAUAAAUCUUCACCGGAGUUGACUUUCGGGUCGCGUCUGCUUAACAUGGCUCUAUGCUUCCAACCGUCCUAACAAGACAAUCUUUGACAAUUUGACCUCAAAUCGGGUGGGACUACCCGCUGAACUUAG